rnacentral:rRNA from 1 species
UACGUAGGGAGCAAGCGUUGUCCGGAAUCAUUGGGCGUAAAGCGCGCGUAGGCGGCCCUGUAAGUCCGUUGUGAAAGUCAAAGGCUCAACCUUUGAAAGCCGAUGGAUACUGCAGGGCUAGAGUCCGGAAGAGGCGAGUCGAAUUCCUGGUGUAGCGGUGGAAUGCGCAGAUAUCAGGAGGAACAUCCGUGGCGAAGGCGGCUCUCUGGGACGGUACUGACGCUGAGACGCGAAAGCGUGGGGAGCGAACAGG